CUUGUUCAAAUUAAACAAAAUGGAGCAGCAGAUGUUGACCAUUAUAUAACAGUGUACUAACUAGAAUGAAAAAACAACAAAUGAACAAACAACAAACUCUUACUUCAGUUAAAUCUUUAAUCACAAUGAUGCUAUCAAUUGGUUCUUUGCAUUCUUUGAAGAGCAGAAGACUGCUAAACAACCAUGCAAUACUUAGACUAAGACAAACUGUUGGAUUUGUGUCUACACACAACACAGUCAACAUAACUAAUUAGGAUCUAAUCUAAAGUUCUAGAGUUAAAUGAUUUACACCGUUAGAGCUGUCUAAUAAUGGACAUGAAAAAUAAGAGUAAUGAUCUGAUGAAACUGAAAGGAAGACAGUCAAAAGCUUUGAUUAAUGUGGAGAUUCAAAAUUUACUUCCUUAGUGUGAAUAUCCACAUUCCCCCCCCCC